rnacentral:lncRNA from 1 species
UGGUGUUGUGAGAGCUCAUCCCACCUUUGUGGUGUGGUGAGUUGGAGAAUAGAGUGAGCCUUUGUGGCGUCUCUACCUUUGUGGUAGAGCACUCCUCCAAACAGAGACGUGCACCGAUCCCAAUAGGUGGAACUCCGGUGAAAUCUUCGUUUUCCCGUGUGGUAUCAUUGUAACAUCCCAAAUUUUUUCAAAUUCGGAUGUUUGCACCUUUACAUUUCUUAUGCAUAUCACCUUGAUCAUAUCUUAAAAUAUUGAUGUUCGUUAUGAUGCAUUAUUGAAAGUGUUUGAAAUGGUGUUUUGGAAUGUGAUAGGUAGAUAGAAAUUGAAUUGAGAAUUUUCUAGAGUCUAAAAACGCAUUUUAGGAUUUUAUUUGGGUUUAUUUAAAGCUUAGAAACAUUAAAAGUAUUUUUAAAAAUUUACUUUUGAGUGGGAAUAAUUUUCCUGGACUCUAAAUGAAAUAUAUUAUUUUACAGAAUUUUUGGGAAUUUUUCUGAAGCCAUUUGAUAUUUUAAAUGAUUUAAAUGGAAUUUCGGGUGAAUUAUAGAUCCUGAAAAGCAAUUUUUAUAUUUUUUCUUUUAUUCUUUUUCUUUUUCUCUGAAAAUACGCUUUCUCCGCAGGGAAGCGUAUUCUCAGAAAAUACGCUUUCUCCACAGGGAAACGUAUUCUCGGGAAAUACGCUUUCAAUCUCUUGUCUCUCUCACUGACAGGUGGGGCCCACCUGUCAUCUUCUCCCUCACCUCCGCCGUCUCCCGCCGCCGCCCGCGCUUGCCUGCCCGCUUGCCCGCGCACCUGCUCGCCGCCCCCGCGCGCCUGCCCGCGCAGCCGCCG